rnacentral:rRNA from 1 species
GACGAACGCUGGCGGCGUGCCUAAUACAUGCAAGUUGAGCGCUGAAGGUUGGUACUUGUACCAACUGGAUGAGCAGCGAACGGGUGAGUAACGCGUGGGGAAUCUGCCUUUGAGCGGGGGACAACAUUUGGAAACGAAUGCUAAUACCGCAUAAAAACUUUAAACACAAGUUUUAAGUUUGAAAGAUGCAAUUGCAUCACUCAAAGAUGAUCCCGCGUUGUAUUAGCUAGUUGGUGAGGUAAAGGCUCACCAAGGCGAUGAUACAUAGCCGACCUGAGAGGGUGAUCGGCCACAUUGGGACUGAGACACAGCCCAAACUCCUACGGGAGGCAGCAGUAGGGAAUCUUCGGCCAUGGACGAAAGUCUGACCGAGCAACGCCGCGUGAGUGAAGAAGGUUUUCGGAUCGUAAAACUCUGUUGGUAGAGAAGAACGUUGGUGAGAGUGGAAAGCUCAUCAAGUGACGGUAACUACCCAGAAAGGGACGGCUAACUACGUG